UACGUAGGUGGCAAGCGUUGUCCGGAAUUAUUGGGCGUAAAGCGCGCGCAGGCGGUCCUUUAAGUCUGAUGUGAAAGCCCACGGCUCAACCGUGGAGGGUCAUUGGAAACUGGGGGACUUGAGUGCAGAAGAGGAGAGUGGAAUUCCACGUGUAGCGGUGAAAUGCGUAGAGAUGUGGAGGAACACCAGUGGCGAAAGGCGACUCUCUGGUCUGUAACUGACGCUGAGGCGCGAAAGCGUGGGGAGCAAACAGG
rnacentral:rRNA from 1 species